rnacentral:rRNA from 1 species
CUACGUGCCAGCAGCCGCGGUAAUACGUAGGGCGCGAGCGUUGUCCGGAAUUAUUGGGCGUAAAGAGCUUGUAGGCGGUUGGUCGCGUCUGCUGUGAAAGGCUGGGGCUUAACCCUGGUUUUGCAGUGGGUACGGGCUAACUAGAGUGCAGUAGGGGAGACUGGAAUUCCUGGUGUAGCGGUGGAAUGCGCAGAUAUCAGGAGGAACACCGAUGGCGAAGGCAGGUCUCUGGGCUGUAACUGACGCUGAGAAGCGAAAGCAUGGGGAGCGAACAGGAUUAGAUACCCUGGUAGUCCAUGCCGUAAACGUUAGGCACUAGGUGUGGGGGACAUUCCACGUUUUCCGCGCCGUAGCUAACGCAUUAAGUGCCCCGCCCGGGGAGUACGGCCGCAAGGCUAAAACUCAAAGAAAUUGACGGGGGCCCGCACAAGCGGCGGAGCAUGCGGAUUAAUUCGAUGCAACGCGAAGAACCUUACCAAGGCUUGACAU